UACGGAGGAUCCAAGCGUUAUCCGGAUUUAUUGGGUUUAAAGGGAGCGUAGGCGGCCAAUUAAGUCAGGGGUGAAAGGCGGUGGCUCAACCAUCGCAGUGCCUUUGAUACUGAUUGGCUUGAAUGUAGUUGAGGUAGGCGGAAUGUGACAAGUAGCGGUGAAAUGCAUAGAUAUGUCACAGAACACCGAUUGCGAAGGCAGCUUACUAUGGUGUCAUUGACGCUGAGGCACGAAAGCGUGGGGAUCAAACAGG
rnacentral:rRNA from 1 species